rnacentral:tRNA from 1 species
GCCGAAGUGGUGGAAUUGGUAGACACGCCAUCUUGAGGGGGUGGUGAAGAGAUUCGUGGGGGUUCGAGUCCCCCCUUCGGCA